UUGUGUUUAUGCUAUAAAGCUUUCGUUAAAAAAAUAAUCUUUGACAUCACAAAUUGAAAACAUACGUAUGUGUAUUGGUGAAUAUAUAAAAUGUUAAAUAGUGCUGAUGUUGAAAAGCAGGAGAGAAGAUGAUCCUCCAAAGCCAUCGUCAGUUAUCGAAGUUUUGAAAUACAUAUUUUGAUUCAGAAAACAAGUUUCUGUGUGAAUUGGAGAAAAUGGAAUUGCAUUUUAUUUCACGUAGAUUGAACAAUAUUCAAAAAACAUUAUAUAUCAUAAAAAUUACAGACUUCUUCAAAUAACAGUUUAAAAAGAUUUCAAGAAAAGAUGCUUUCAAUACAUGAUUUACGUCCUUUCGAUUUUUUAUCAACUGGAAGAGGUACAAAAACGACCGGAAGAUUAGACCAUGUCGGGGAUCGUUUGGAUUCGGUUUGCCGCGAAACUGUAACAACAAAAAAACACUAUAAUUAAGAUUCUUAUUUAUACGAAUAUUAACAUAUACUCGAAAUAAAAACAGAUAACUGAUAUAAUUAUUCGCGACCUCAACAUGUUAUAAUAAUUGCAGAAAUAACUUUUUGUUGAAAAGUGAAGAGGAACCACAACACAUAGAAUUUCAAAAAUUAUAUCUGCUGCACUAAAAGCUCAGGUGGACCAGUCAGCGUAUGAGUUUUUCCGGAUCCGGUUUGUCCAUAACAAAACGCAGUACAGCUAAAUCCUUCAAUUGCCAUGUCGAUGAUGCGUUUGAUACCUGAAUAAUCUAAAAUAUCCUCCUGAGUCGCUCCGGGUUCAAAUACAACAUUAUAAGGAACUGAAGAAUCAUGCCAUAUCUAUCUCGUUUUUCUUUCUCAUUAAGCGGUCGCACCCUGACCACAACGUUUAUGUUGUCCUCCGGUGUUGAGGGUUCACUGCCAGUGGAUUUCGAGGCCACUAUUUCCAAGGUGUCCGCGCUACCAAUUCUGCAAAAUCAAAACAGACACAUAUGUAAAUAAUAAUGUAUUUGUGAAGUAAGAGUAUGACUUCGUUGUAAAUAAUUGAGCGUUUAUAUAUUUGGGGUAAGAUUUUAGGCGUGAACUUGACUUACAACCUUGGUCAAACAAUAUUUCCUUGAACUUGCCGUCAAACAUCGACUUCCAUUGCGUUGACCGUAUAAAUACCUACAUCCACACACACACAUGUAAAUAAAGUAUGUAUGAAAACAUAGACGACAAGGACCUUUUAUAUACUGAGGUUUCCAAAUACAAGAGUGGAGAACAUUUUCAAGAAUACAUAUAUAUAAAUGCGUUAGCACAAGGAAGGUUAUAUCUGUCCCUUCAUUUAAAUUUAUAUUGAAUUUCUGAACUAAUAAAUACUGCCAGAGAAGCAGAGAGCGGAAUUAACAAGAAUACAAGUACGUAUAACUCAAGAACGGCUAAACUGAUUUGGCUAAAAAACAAUCCACAUUACCCCAAAGUAAUUUUGUGCUACGCCCUGUAUUCGAAGAAUUAAAGUGUUCCUCCAGCGUCCAAUGCUUCAAAAAGCCUUUAAAAGAGAUGGCCAAUAAAGUUAAUAUAUAUGUAUUUGUAUAUUUUUUCUCUAUUCAAUUUAAAACAGAGGUAAAACAU